UACGUAGGGCGCAAGCGUUUGUCCGGAAUUAUUGGGCGUAAAGAGCUCGUAGGCGGCUUGUCACGUCGGGUGUGAAAGCCCGGGGCUUAACCCCGGGUCUGCAUUCGAUACGGGCAGGCUAGAGUGUGGUAGGGGAGAUCGGAAUUCCUGGUGUAGCGGUGAAAUGCGCAGAUAUCAGGAGGAACACCGGUGGCGAAGGCGGAUCUCUGGGCCAUUACUGACGCUGGGGGAGCGAAAAGCGUGGGGAGCGAACAGG
rnacentral:rRNA from 1 species